CCACAGCACUACACUACGCUUCAAAUUCUAAACUAUUUACACGGCAGAUUCGCUGGCGUCGAGUCCCACCGAACCAUCAUUCGCCAUGAACUAAGAGCAGGCAGAUAUAUUCCCUGAACCGCGCAUCAGAACCUUCAGCCAGCACCUAGCACAACACCGGUCACCAAAGCUCAGUUCUUCACACGUAUGAGUCAAGAUAGUCGAAUCCGCGGAUCAUCCUGUACUGCAACAGGCUGGCAUAGACGCGGUCGCACACUCCGAUGAACAGGGACUCGUCGU
rnacentral:lncRNA from 1 species